UACCCUGAGCAAUGAUCUACAAAAUCUUUGAGCAGUGAUCACGGCAGAAAUCUUGCUUUGAUAAAAGAUUAGGUGGUCUUUACUUGUGACCCCUACUGUCUGUUGUGGGAGGAUUACAAAGUCUCUUUAAAAUCCCAGUCCCCAGCUUUGCCUGAUCUCCAUCACCUGGGACUUCAGACGGGAUACAUUGAUUUGGCUGACUUGAAACCUGUCGGAAGUGUGGUGAUAGACACAGAUAGGAGAUUUCCAGAUGAUACAACACUGCAUUUUAAAUACACAUUCUUUUGGAAUUUGAGGGUGGAAGAUAAUAGCAGAAAACAGAACAAAGGCCUGGACCUCACAAACGAGCUCAUCCUCUGCCUUCCACCUGGUGCUGGGUUCCUUGGGGCUUCUCGUGGAUGAAGAGUCACGUAGCUCCCUUCAUCUCAGCAGAGUUUUGCUUGAAUUCAGUCCUUGUGAUUUCCUGCUCAGAGAACUUUAAAAAUGAGAUAAAUGUGGUAGAUCAGGCAUAGCUGUUUUCACCAGUCUUCUGCUGUUAUUGAACCCAAAUGAGUAAAAUCUUCAUUAGUAAUGCAUUUUGUGUUCUCUCUCUCUUUUUUUCCCUUCUCUCUCUAGUCACCAGGAUGUUGAAACAUCAGUACCAGAAUUUUACAUCCCUAAGGGUAGGGGUCCCUGUUUUUCUGAAGAUACUGCCUCCCUGCUGAAUGUAUUAAUUUUUUUGGAGUCUGUGAUGUUUACACCUUGGAAUGUCUCUUAACUGUUCAGGUGCUUGAGUAAAGAGUUAUGGUCUGCCCUCAAAUAAUAUGGAAUUAUGCUUAUGUAGCUUACAAAAUUACAAGGUUAUGUAAUUUUUCAUGUGCAUAAUUCCUUUAAUGUUAAAAAGGGAAAUUUUAAAGUCUACUGUUCACAUAAUUGCAAACUCAUAGAGUACAGAAGACAAAAUCAUAAAACAUUUUUAAAAAUGUGAAGAGGACAAUUUAUUGCUUACUUAGAUGUGUGAAGGAAUCUCAUUGUAUAUUGGUGGUGUGUUUUCUAGAAAUACUGUUACUCUAAUUCAACCCACCUUGAGAACUGGUAAAAAUCUUGAUGUGAAACACACUUUUGCAGCAGAAGAGUGCAGGUGCAAAAUGGAAAAGCAAGCAUUUUUUCAAGUGGCAUUGAUUGUUUUCUGUGCAACAUGUAGGAACACCAGAAUAUUUUUAGAUGAAAAAGAUUAAAAAAUUAUCCAU